rnacentral:rRNA from 1 species
UAAUACGUAGGGUGCAAGCGUUGUCCGGAUUUAUUGGGCGUAAAGAGCUCGUAGGCGGUUUGACACGUCGGAUGUGAAAACUCGGGGCUUAACUCCGAGCCUGCAUUCGAUACGGUCUAACUAGAGUGUGGUAGGGGAAACUGGAAUUCCUGGUGUAGCGGUGAAAUGCGCAGAUAUCAGGAGGAACACCGAUGGCGAAGGCAGGUUUCUGGGCCACCACUGACGCUGAGGAGCGAAAGCGUGGGGAGCGAACAGGAUUAGAUACCCUGGUAGUCCACGCCGUAAACGGUGGGCGCUAGAUGUGGGGACUACUCCAUGGUCUCUGUGUCGCAGCUAACGCAUUAAGCGCCCCGCCUGGGGAGUACGGCCGCAAGGCUAAAACUCAAAGGAAUUGACGGGGGCCCGCACAAGCGGCGGAGCAUGCGGCUUAAUUCGAUGCAACGCGAAGAACCUUACCUAGACUUGACAUAUACGGAAAACAUGCAGAGAUGUAUGGUCCGAAAGGGCC